GUUAGAGCAAAGUUUCUGAAGCAACCUUGCGUGGCUAAAAAAGCCGACAGACUCCAUGCACUAAGCUCUAUAUGUUUCGAUCAUAAAUGAUUAAUGUAAAUAAAGAAUGGCAACUCAUAUUGACAAAUGGUGAGUUUGAUAAUGCUACAAAUAACAUGCAAGUGAGCUUCAGGGCAAAAAGAAACAUUACUAAGAACUUUCAUGAACAGAAUGAAUCCUUGACAUUAGGGAUCAGUGUGCCUAUAGACCAGAGCACCAGAUGAUAAUCAAAAGUUGUAGAAGAUGUGAUAUCAUACACAGAAAAGACAUUAAAAUACUUUUGAAUGGCCAUACUCAAAAUAUUGACAAUCUUGUAAAACUAUAUGAUCAAGAGAUGGUCAAAAGUAACGUUCGAAUACCUGAAAUUUGACAUAAUUCCUCAGGACAUAACUGGAUCAUCUACAAUCUUAACCUACAAAUCCUUAGGUUAAUAUGUAAAUUCUACAUAAAGCGUAGCUGCCUGUCAGUUGGGUGGAUAAUGACUCUACUUUAAAAGAGGCAAGAGAGAAUAUGAAGAAUAGUUGGCAGUGACUCCGAAGUCCACCAAUACGUUCAUUGUUAAAAUAGGAAUCUCAUGAUCACUUGAUGCUUGAAAUUUAUGCAGGGAUAUUACAGAUGAAAUUCUACUUCCUUCCAACAUAAGCUGCCAAUUUAGACAAGUCUGGAAUCCAAAAUGAUAGUUCAGAAGACCCAGUUGCAAACAUAAGACUUCCAGGGGCCCAUUUUAUCACAUGAGGCUCAGUUUCAUAAGUCAUCCAACUUGCGACUUCUUUCCCACUCCUUACACUCCAAGCAUGGACACGACCAUCACCUGAACCUGUCAAGAUAUCAGAAACAAUAAAGUUAUUAGGAGUCACAAAAGGUAAGAUUCUGUAAAACCAAAGUAAAUUUGGGCUUCAUAGUAAGUGAAAUGCCAAUUCAUUUGUUGGAAUUGUCCCAUUGAACACUUAUACUAUGCCAGGGUUCACAAUGAAACAUAGUCUAUAUUCUCUAAGAGGUCCUCUUCAUUCCAAGCCACAAAUGAUUUACGAAACCCAAGAAACAGUGCAAUUUAGGUCUAAUUCCAUGCAUCGUUAUUUCAACAAGCAUAUUUAAAGGCACUAACCAAAUUAAGGGGACGAAAAUCAGCCAAAAAGAUUCAAAUUAUUGUCCUCCAAAAGAACUGAUGACAGGUGCAAUACCUGAUACUACAAACAUUCCCUCAGGGCUAAAAGAUGCCUCUAAUGUAGAAUUCAUUGAAACUGGCUUCACAUUAUAUGUGGAUAACUAAUACAAAAAAGAGAACAUAGAAGCAUGUUAAAGGAACUCCCUGGAGCAUUCUCAAAUAGCCAAUCUAAAAUCUUCAAUGAAUUAAAAUUAGAAAAGGAAGAUUUAGGUGAAAGUUUAAGUGCUGGACUCACAAGUGUUCCACGAAAUGAAUCAAGGACAUGAAUAUGCCCAUCCAUAGUUGUCAAGAGCAUUAGUCUCCCAUCAUUGCUAAACUUUACAGCAUUUGCAUUGGAUAGAUCUCCCCCAACAGAAAAGAUGUCAAAAGGCCCCUUUUCAUACUUGCGAGAGUCAAACAUUCUUAUGUAUCCACCAAAGGCAAUUGCAAAAACUAGCCCUUGAUCAUCAUAUGCUGUAGCAGGCCUUCCUUGCACACGUAGAAGACCCUGACACUUUUCAGCCCGUUGAUCCCAAAGCAGAACAGUUCGGUCGAGGGAUCCAGAGAUAAAGCAUUCUUUACGAGAGCACAAGCUCAGUGAGACAACCCUGUCAUGAUGACCUUUAAAAUACCGCAAGUACUUGUUAUCAUUCAAAGAGAGAAGUCGCAGGGAUUCAUCCCAUCCAUUUUUUGAGGAGUAUAUAACAGUUGUAGGAUGAGAAGUAAAGCAGACCAGAUCAACCCCAUACUUUUUGCUAUUGAUGGUCUUUAAACAUGUUGCACUGGCAACAUCAUAAAGGCGGAUUGAUUCAUCGUCACUGGCAGUCACUAGAUAACUUGACGUCUUGUGAAAAUCCAUGGAGCUGAUUCUACCAUUAUAAUCCCUAAAAACCAUGCCAAUUUCCAUGCUUUGGAGAAUCUCUUCAGUGAGCUCCAACGAUACUUUCUCUUCUCCUCUUUCUGGUUGCGUCCCAACCAUCUUUCAAAAGUUUCAACUGAUGAUAUGAUAUAUGAAGGUGAAAAUUUCACGCACAAAGGGAACUGUCGAGUGAAUGAUUUUGACAAGUGCUAGAGAAUUCCGACGGCUUUUAAUGUUUAUAAUAGCCGUGGAUGCUCGCCGGAGACGCACAGUGGAGCUAUGGAAGGGGCCGAGGAGACGGCUUGGUAGACCGCUGUUUCUGGGUUCACAACGCUGGCCUGACCCAGGCGCCCAGCGUAAUAACGGAGAAAAAAA
rnacentral:misc_RNA from 1 species